AUGGCUGCGCCCACGAAGAGCGUGUCGAAAGCUCCUCUGUCGUUUUUAUCAUAAAAUUUGUGUCUACUUGUCUAAUUUAGGGACAAUGAAAGACCACAAGCAGAACUCGGGAAUGGCCAGCCCCAACACAAGCUGGAAUGAGUGUGAAUUGCUUGAAGAAAUUAUCAGUUGAAUAGAUGACGACUACCUCCAUAUAUUGG